rnacentral:tRNA from 1 species
UUAGCUCAGUGGGUAGAGCGUGCGCUUAGUAAGCGUAAGGUUGCAAGAUCGAUUCCGGGUGUGUCC